CAGUCGCCACGGUAAUACGGAGGGAGCUAGCGCUGUUCGGAAUCACUGGGCGUAAAGCGCACGUAGGCGGCUAUUCAAGUCAGGGGUGAAAGCCCGGGGCUCAACCCCGGAACUGCCUUUGAAACUAGAUAGCUUGAAUCUUGGAGAGGCGAGUGGAAUUCCGAGUGUAGAGGUGAAAUUCGUAGAUAUUCGGAAGAACACCAGUGGCGAAGGCGACUCGCUGGACAAGUAUUGACGCUGAGGUGCGAAAGCGUGGGGAGCAAACAGGAUUAGAUACCCCGGUAGUCCCUGUCUCUUAUAC
rnacentral:rRNA from 1 species